ACGGGAGGCAGCAGUGGGGAAUAUUGCACAAUGGGCGCAAGCCUGAUGCAGCGAUGCCGCGUGAGGGAAGAAGGUUUUCGGAUUGUAAACCUCUGUCAACAGGGACGAAAAUGACGGUACCUGUGAAGGAAGCUCCGGCUAACUACGUGCCAGCAGCCGCGGUAAUACGUAGGGGGCAAGCGUUAUCCGGAUUUACUGGGUGUAAAGGGAGCGUAGACGGAAGGCCAAGUCUGAUGUGAAAACCCAGGGCUCAACCCUGGGACUGCAUUGGAAACUGGUCAUCUAGAGUGCAGGAGGGGUAAGCGGAAUUCCUAGUGUAGCGGUGAAAUGCGUAGAUAUUAGGAGGAACACCAGUGGCGAAGGCGGCUUACUGGACUGUAACUGACGUUGAGGCUCGAAAGCGUGGGGAGCAAACAGGAUUAGAUACCCUGGUA
rnacentral:rRNA from 1 species